AAACUCCACGGCUCAAAUACACAGCUGGACAGUGAUUUACUCACUUAAUCACUUUACUGGACAAUAAAAUCAUUUUAUUUUUACGCGAACUUUUAAUUCGGCUACUUAAAAAUAAUAACAGAAUUUUAGAUAAAUAUAUUUAGUUAUUUUGUUAAGAAAACAGUAUCGAUUUAAUUUUUGUUAUUUUGUUCGAAUUUAAAUCAUUCUUUAAGUGCAGUACCUAAACAUUUCAAAAGCUAUCGGGAACGAUUGAGAAAACCCGAAAAAACGAAUAGGAAAAACGCACAAGUUCUCGGCAUGAAAAGUUUUUUCUGAUUUAUUUAUUUAUACUAGAAAUCUUACUUCGGAUUUCAAGAUGAGCAUGUUUUCUGAAUGAAAAUGUUGUGUUAUUAGUUCGGA